rnacentral:lncRNA from 1 species
UGGGGCGUGGUCGAUCUGGACCACCCAAUGCCACCUCUCGAGGACCACUGGGACCCCAUCACUGCCCAGAUCCUCGGGAGAACCGCUGGGCAACACCCACCACAACAGGCUGGGCAAAAGUUGGGAUCCACACAGCGCGUGUUUGAAACAGGGCCUCACCUGUAGCCCAUGCUGGCCUGGAACUCAGCUACCUCAGAUUAUAGGUGUGCAUGACCUGAUUCAGAAACUCUUUAGUGCCCAAGAACCUGAUGUUCUGUCAGGCAGUGCCAGAGCAGGAACAACCCUUGAAGUAAACUAAAUGGAGAAACCAA